rnacentral:rRNA from 1 species
AAACCCGGUGAUCUAGCCAUGGGCAGGUUGAAGGUUGGGUAACACUAACUGGAGGACCGAACCGACUAAUGUUGAAAAAUUAGCGGAUGACUUGUGGCUGGGGGUGAAAGGCCAAUCAAACCGGGAGAUAGCUGGUUCUCCCCGAAAGCUAUUUAGGUAGCGCCUCGUGAACUCAUCUUCGGGGGUAGAGCACUGUUUCGGCUAGGGGGCCAUCCCGGCUUACCAAACCGAUGCAAACUCCGAAUACCGAAGAAUGUUAUCACGGGAGACACACGGCGGGUGCUAACGUCCGUCGUGAAGAGGGAAACAACCCAGACCGCCAGCUAAGGUCCCAAAGUCAUGGUUAAGUGGGAAACGAUGUGGGAAGGCACAGACAGCCAGGAUGUUGGCUUAGAAGCAGCCAUCAUUUAAAGAAAGCGUAAUAGCUCACUGGUCGAGUCGGCCUGCGCGGAAGAUGUAACGGGGCUAAACCAUGCACCGAAGCUGCGGCAGCGACGCUUAGGCGUUGUUGGGUAGGGGAGCGUUCUGUAAGCCGUUGAAGGUGGCCUGUGAGGGUUGCUGGAGGUAUCAGAAGUGCGAAUGCUGACAUAAGUAACGAUAAAGCGGGUGAAAAGCCCGCUCGCCGGAAGACCAAGGGUUCCUGUCCAACGUUAAUCGGGGCAGGGUGAGUCGACCCCUAAGGCGAGGCUGAAAAGCGUAGUCGAUGGGAAACAGGUUAAUAUUCCUGUACUUGGUGUUACUGCGAAGGGGGGACGGAGAAGGCUAGGCUAGCCGGGCGACGGUUGUCCCGGUUUAAGCGUGUAGGGGGUGUGACCUGGUAAAUCCGGUUGCAUAUUAACCCUGAGGCGUGAUGACGAUGCACUACGGUGCAGAAGUAGUUGAUGCCCUGCUUCCAGGAAAAUCCUCUAAGCUCCAGGUAACAUUAAAUCGUACCCCAAACCGACACAGGUGGUCAGGUAGAGAAUACCAAGGCGCUUGAGAGAACUCGGGUGAAGGAACUAGGCAAAAUGGUGCCGUAACUUCGGGAGAAGGCACGCUGGCAUGUAGGUGAAGUCCCUCGCGGAUGGAGCCGAAGCCAGUCGAAGAUACCAGCUGGCUGCAACUGUUUAAUAAAAACACAGCACUGUGCAAACACGAAAGUGGACGUAUACGGUGUGACGCCUGCCCGGUGCUGGA